UACGUAGGGGGCAAGCGUUAUCCGGAUUUACUGGGUGCAAAGGGAGCGCAGACGGUAGUGCAAGUCUGAAGUGAAAAUUCGCGGCUCAACUGCGAAACUGCUUUGGAAACUGUACAACUAGAGUACCGGAGGGGUAAGCGGAAUUCCUAGUGUAGCGGUGAAAGGCGUUGAUAUUAGGAAGAACACCGGUGGCGAAGGCGGCUUACUGGACGGAAACUGACGUUGAGGCUCGAAAGCGUGGGGAGCAAAC
rnacentral:rRNA from 1 species